CCGCCCAUAGUUUACGCUGGUUAGAACGCUGGCCUUUCAAGCCGGAAGACGGGGAUCGUCGCCCCGUGGGCGGACCA
rnacentral:tRNA from 1 species